rnacentral:rRNA from 1 species
AUUGAACGCUGGCGGCAGGCCUAACACAUGCAAGUCGAGCGGAUGAAGGGAGCUUGCUCCUGGAUUCAGCGGCGGACGGGUGAGUAAUGCCUAGGAAUCUGCCUGGUAGUGGGGGAUAACGUCCGGAAACGGGCGCUAAUACCGCAUACGUCCGAGGGAGAAAGUGGGGGAUCUUCGGACCUCACGCUAUCAGAUGAGCCUAGGUCGGAUUAGCUAGUUGGUGGGGUAGAGGCCUACCAAGGCGACGAUCCGUAACUGGUCUGAGAGGAUGAUCAGUCACACUGGAACUGAGACACGGUCCAGACUCCUACGGGAGGCAGCAGUGGGGAAUAUUGGACAAUGGGCGAAAGCCUGAUCCAGCCAUGCCGCGUGUGUGAAGAAGGUCUUCGGAUUGUAAAGCACUUUAAGUUGGGAGGAAGGGCAGUAAGUUAAUACCUUGCUGUUUUGACGUUACCAACAGAAUAAGCACCGGCUAACUUCGUG